GUUAUCGUUUAUUUGAUAGUACCUUACUACAUAGAUAACCGUGGUAAUUCUAGAGCUAAUACAUGCUAAAAACCUCGACUUCGGAAGGGGUGUAUUUAUUAGAUAAAAAACCAAUGCCCUUCGGGGCUCCCUGGUGAUUCAUAAUAACUUAACGAAUCGCAUGGCCUUGUGCCGGCGAUGGUUCAUUCAAAUUUCUGCCCUAUCAACUUUCGAUGGUAGGAUAGUGGCCUACCAUGGUUUCAACGGGUAACGGGGAAUUAGGGUUCUAUUCCGGAGAAGGAGCCUGAGAAACGGCUACUACAUCCAAGGAAGGCAGCAGGCGCGCAAAUUACCCAAUCCCGACACGGGGAGGUAGUGACAAUAAAUACUGAUACAGGGCUCUUUUGAGUCUUGUAAUUGGAAUGAGUACAAUUUAAAUACCUUAACGAGGAACAAUUGGAGGGCAAGUCUGGUGCCAGCAGCCGCGGUAAUUCCAGCUCCAAUAGCGUAUAUUAAAGUUGUUGCAGUUAAAAAGCUCGUAGUUGAACCUUGG
rnacentral:rRNA from 1 species